UCCUCUGUCAAAAAAAAGAAGCGAGAUUUAAACCGCUCGUUAUUAAUUUCCACGAACAGGUUACCUUGCCGUCUUUUAAAAAGACGAACUAAGCGUGAAAAUAAUAAUAGUAAUAUCCCCCGACGGCUUCGUUCUUGGUCUGCUUUGCGUGGUUUUAUAAGAGCAAGCGUCGCUUUUAAUUAAAACCGUCAUCAAAAACAAGCAAGAGAGUAAAGUUGGUUCAUUAUUUAGUUUGCGCGUACGUUCGCACGCGGACGCGCGUUUUGGGAACCGCGCGGCCUUUCGAUUUAAUAAUAGCCCAUUUUUUUGGUAGAAAUUAAAUUUAGUGGUUUUUUUAGAGUUAAGCCAACCUUAUGCGAGCGGGCUGCAAAAAAAAAAAAAAAAAAAUCCAACCAUAAACACAAGAUCAACGCGUAGUGUUUGAAUUCCCCAAUCAGACAAGCGUUGACAAGAGCAGACCAAUGCAGUGAUAGAGGGAUGCGAAUGUCACAUGUUUUCAAUAUAAUAUACACCGCCCUUCUAUUUCUAUCCCCACCCCUCCGUCAACUGUCAAUUCUGCCCGACCGCAAUCAAUCAGUUAUUUGUCAGUCGCUGUCAAUCCCUUUCUUACUUCACGUCAGCUUUUGAAGCUGAUUAUGUGCCGCGAGUGACGGAGAAAAGGGCAAAAGCGGCAUCCCGGAGAAGAGUCACUUAAUUUGAGGGGCAUGUCGUUUCUCCGCUUUAUUCGGCUUGGAAAAGGUUUUUGUUUAAAAGCCGACAAUCCGUUCCCCGCGUUCAGCCCGUCCAAGCACAAAUAGAAAAAUCAACAACCAGUCGUUUAUCCAACAGGCUACAGCUGCUAAGCAAAACAACCUCGUUUUUACACAUUUCCGAAGUACUUUUAACGAGCCUUUUUGGCUGAUUUACACGUGUCGUUAUUUAACAGUUUUACUUUUUAAAAGUUUCAAAACACGAGGAAAAUACGAUUUAUUUAUUUGCUGACUUUCUAGGCUACACAGCUCUUUUUUUUUUUUAAUUAAUCAACCAAGCAAUUGCAUAUGCCGUAAACCGCCUCGUGUUUUGCCUUCGCUGUCAUUUAAUUAGUUAUUAAUUUACUCAUUUUCCACUGCGAGCGAAUUAAAAAGGAAAAGUCGAUUCUCGGACCCCGCGAGCGGCCAGGUCUCUUUUAAGCACCGAGAGAGAGAGCAAGUUUCGGGCAGGUGCACGUGACAGCUACUUCUAAACCGCGUCUUCCUCGCCUCGCGCGCACUUUCGGGUUUUUCCGGGCCCGUGUUUUUCCGCAGAAAGCGAACUUCGCCGGCAUCGCGUCGCCCCGGGCGAAAACCAGCGCAACUUCGACUCGCUAGGAAUGUUGAAAGCGACGGGAACGCAAUAACAAACAACCAUAAAUAAUAAUAAUAAAGAAAAAAAGUCCAGACGGUUUUCUCCAUUCACGUCAGCAAAAUUUUAUUUACGCACGGUAAAAUUAUUCACUUUAUUUGACAAUACCGAAAGACAUAAAGGCGAGAGAAAUGGUGUGUCAGACCUUUGAGAAAAGAAGUUUAAAAUGCCUUGAACUAUUCACCGCUGAGACGGCUAAUCAGUAUUGAGGCUCCGGGGCAAUCGGGCAGCUUUUCAAUGCGCCUUGCCUUUCAUCUCUCGCUGGAUGGAGGCGCUCAAUUAAAAGCCUAUCAGUUUGUCAUCUAGGAGAGCAAGAAAACCUGGAGUGGACAGUCAUCAGCGUGAAAGAAAUGUAUAUUUUGCACCUCGGACACAUUGAAAUAACGCUGAUCUACGGCGAACAAUAAACUUUGCUAACUUGCCAAUUAAA